CAGGCUGAAAGAAGACUGAUCUACUGAAUUGAACCAGAAUUUCAACCAGUGGUGCAGAAACCCGGGAGGAGGUACGAGACACAGCUAUAGAAACCUUCCUGCUCUGUUUGACCUGCACAUAGAACAGCAACUACACCUCCACGACUUCACUAAGGAGCAGGACAGAUGGGUCCAGAUGCUACUACCUACAACCUAAAGUCAGCCUGCACGUGAUGCUCAAUAACAUGUCCUACACUGAUACGAAAAAUCUCUGCACAUCAAUAGUGACGAGAUGCUUUACCAGUCAAUUUCCUUAGAAAACUCCACCUGAGAAAUCAUGUUACCCUUCUGUCACACAAAGAAUUUUUAUUCUUCGCUUGAAGACGUGAUGCAGAGAAGAGCCUUGAUCCAUGUCUUCCUUGUACCCCGACAUAUGGUGGGUUCAAUCAAACAGUGCUUUAAGGGUGUGUCUACAGUCACAGAAUUGGCUUCUUAUGAAACCUAACUUACCUUGAAUUACUGGUGAAUUCAUCAAAUCCUGAACAUGUAAGAACAUGAAGUGGGGAGGGAGAAGAACUUCACUUCCAGCCUGUUGGACUGUUUGUCACAAGGUACCAGGUUGUGAUGUACACAGGGAAAAGAGCAGCUACUGCAACUAUUAGAUUACCUGCUUAUAGAAACUGCUAGAGAAACUUGCUAUGAGCCUCACAAUGAUCAAAUGAUCAAAAUUAAGAUUUAAAAAAUUAUAAAUUUAUAAAAUCAUUAUUUUCAGCUU